rnacentral:rRNA from 1 species
UGGGGAAUCUUGGACAAUGGGCGCAAGCCUGAUCCAGCCAUGCCGCGUGAGCGAUGAAGGCCUUAGGGUCGUAAAGCUCUUUCGCCUGUGAAGAUAAUGACGGUAGCAGGUAAAGAAACCCCGGCUAACUCCGUGCCAGCAGCCGCGGUAAUACGGAGGGGGUUAGCGUUGUUCGGAAUUACUGGGCGUAAAGCGCACGUAGGCGGACCAGAAAGUUGGGGGUGAAAUCCCGGGGGCUCAACCCCGGAACUGCCUCCAAAACUAUUGGUCUAGAGUUCGAGAGAGGUGAGUGGAAUUCCAAGUGUAGAGGUGAAAUUCGUAGAUAUUUGGAGGAACACCAGUGGCGAAGGCGGCUCACUGGCUCGAUACUGACGCUGAGGUGCGAAAGUGUGGGGAGCAAACAGGAUUAGAUACCCUGGUAGUCCACACCGUAAAACGAUGAAUGCCAGUCGUCGGGUAGCAUGCUAUUCGGUGACACACCUAACGGAUUAAGCAUUCCGCCUGGGGAGUACGGUCGCAAGAUUAAAACUCAAAUGAAUU